rnacentral:rRNA from 1 species
GACGAACGCUGGCGGCGUGCUUAACACAUGCAAGUCGAACGGCAAGGCCCUGCUUUUUUGGGGUGCUCGAUUGGCGAACGGGUGCGUAACACGUGAGUAACCUGCCCUUCACUUUGGUAUAACUUCAGGAAACUGGGGCUAAUACCGGAUCGGAUCUCCUGCUGCAUGGUGGGGGUUGGAAAUUUUCGGCGGUUGGGGAUGGACUCGCGGCUUAUCAGCUUGUUGGUGGGGUAGUGGCUUACCAAGGCUUUGACGGGUAGCCGGCCUGAGUGGGUGACCGGCCACAAUGGGACUGAGAUACGGACCAGACUCGUACGGGAGGCAGCAGUGGGAAAUAUUGCACAAUGGGAGGAAGCCGGAUGCAGAAACGCCGCGUGCGGGAUGACGGCCUGCGGGUUGUAAACCGCUUUAGCCUGUGACGAAGCGUGAGUGACGGUAAUGGGUAAAGAAGCACCGGCUAACUACGUG